GAUGAAGAACGUAGCGAAAUGCGAUACGUAAUGUGAAUUGCAGAAUUCAGUGAAUCAUCGAAUCUUUGAACGCACAUUGCGCCCCUUGGUAUUCCGGGGGGCAUGUCUGUUCGAGCGUCAUUUCAACCCUCAAGCUCUGCUUGGUAUUGGGCACCGUCCUUUGCGGGCGCGCCUCAAAGACCUCGGCGGUGGCGUCUUGCCUCAAGCGUAGUAGAAUACACCUCGCUUCGGAGCGUAAGGCGUCGCCCGCCGGACGAACCUUCUGAACUUUUCUCAAGGUUGACCUCGGAUCAGGUAGGGAUACCCGCUGAACUUAAGCAUAUCAAUAAGCGGAGGA
rnacentral:misc_RNA from 1 species